AUUGAACGCUGGCGGCAUGCCUUACACAUGCAAGUCGAACGGCAGCAUGAUCUAGCUUGCUAGAUUGAUGGCGAGUGGCGAACGGGUGAGUAAUACAUCGGAACGUGCCCUGUAGUGGGGGAUAACUAGUCGAAAGAUUAGCUAAUACCGCAUACGACCUGAGGGUGAAAGUGGGGGACCGCAAGGCCUCAUGCUAUAGGAGCGGCCGAUGUCUGGUUAGCUAGUUGGUGAGGUAAAGGCUCACCAAGGCGACGAUCAGUAGCUGGUCUGAGAGGACGAUCAGCCACACUGGGACUGAGACACGGCCCAGACUCCUACGGGAGGCAGCAGUGGGGAAUUUUGGACAAUGGGCGAAAGCCUGAUCCAGCAAUGCCGCGUGUGUGAAGAAGGCCUUCGGGUUGUAAAGCACUUUUGUCCGGAAAGAAAUGGCUCUGGUUAAUACCUGGGGUCGAUGAUGGUACCGGAAGAAUAAGGACCGGCUAACUACGUG
rnacentral:rRNA from 1 species